CUUUUCUGCACCCGGGACUGGGAAAGCCACGCCACGGUCCUGAAUGUUGAAUUAUAGGGAUCAUCGGUCCUUGGAUUUCAGAGGAGAGGACGGCAAGAUGACCUUGGUUCAAAUCCUGACAGUAAUAUUUGCUCGUUGAGAGACCUUAGAGAGAGACACAGCAUGAGCAGGGGAGGGGCAGAGAGAGAGGGAGACACAGAAUCUCCAAGCUGUCAACACAGAGCCUGACGCGGGGCUCGAACUCACAAACCGUGAGAUCAUGACCUGAACCGAAGUCAGAUGCUUAACUGACUGAGCCACCCAGGCACCCCUCCCCCAUUCCUUUUCUGUCCCCGUCAGCCUGUUACUCGUGUCUCUAUGUCACUUCUUAUCAUCUGAAAUGGUGUUGGUCUCA